rnacentral:lncRNA from 1 species
GUGACUGUACACAUCGGUGAAAAUUUGGAGUUUUCGCUCGGAAGAACCAGAGCGAAAAGCGGAAGCUGAACUGAGACUCUUAUAAUUUUACUUAGGAAAAGCACAAGCUGUUUUUUGAUGAUGGACAUCAACUGCGGACAGUCUGUUUUCUUGCUUGAUAGGAAAAACAAGCUAAAUAAGCUUAUGUUACAGAGGGUAUUCACAUUCUGUAACAGUUUUUUUAUAACUACGAAUAUGAUGUUUUCCAGUAAUAUAACGGUACUUCAAUUAAAAAUCCCCGCUUUUAUCAGUGCUUCAAUAUUGUAUUUUCUAUCCCGCUAGAUAUUGAACUUGAUCGAAUGCGCUAUAAACACGCAGAAGCGAUAUAAGUAGCAGAUAAAGAAAUGUAUAUAUAAAAGCACACAGCAGAUUUCAAAAUGAUCAGACUGUAAAGUAUCUUGAAAUCAUCAACACACUACCAGACCAAUUUCACUAACCGCCAAAAUGAGUCAAACUCUUACCUACCUUUUGCUCUUGGUCGUCCUUAUCGCCUGUCUGACUAAUGGCGCUGUUGCGGCGGCUGAAUGGGGAUGCAGCAGCAACAGCGAAUGCGGAACGUGCAGCUGUACUGGUGGAUAUUGCGUCUGUCCCGAUGGAGUGGUCUAAAUCAGCUGAGAAGCCUUAUCGUCCUUUUAUUGAUUGAUUUCGAGAAGAACAAUGUAGCUUUAUAACUUGAUUAAUUUUUCUAAUCCACUAAAAUAAAUGAUUUAUAGUAUUCCAUAAA